CUGCGUUAGGGAUUGUAGUGGAAAUCCUUUUUAUAAGCUAAAUUUAUAAGUGUCUUUACGAGUUUACGAAGUAAUCUCUUUAUAAUAAUGAGGUUGCCACAGUUUACAAAAAAUAAACUUGGUAAUAAAAGUUAUAAAAAGAUUGCAGCGUAAAGCCCGACCUAAA
rnacentral:sRNA from 1 species